rnacentral:rRNA from 1 species
AUUGAACGCUGGCGGCAUGCCUUACACAUGCAAGUCGAACGGUAACAGGUCUUCGGAUGCUGACGAGUGGCGCACGGGUGCGUAAUACAUCGGAACGUGCCCGAUCGUGGGGGAUAACGAGGCGAAAGCUUUGCUAAUACCGCAUACGAUCUACGGAUGAAAGCGGGGGAUCUUCGGACCUCGCGCGGACGGAGCGGCCGAUGGCAGAUUAGGUAGUUGGUGGGAUAAAAGCUUACCAAGCCGACGAUCUGUAGCUGGUCUGAGAGGAUGAUCAGCCACACUGGGACUGAGACACGGCCCAGACUCCUACGGGAGGCAGCAGUGGGGAAUUUUGGACAAUGGGCGAAAGCCUGAUCCAGCCAUGCCGCGUGCAGGAUGAAGGCCUUCGGGUUGUAAACUGCUUUUGUACGGAACGAAAAGCCUCUUUCUAAUAAAGAGGGGUCAUGACGGUACCGGAAGAAUAAGCACCGGCUAACUACGUG